rnacentral:lncRNA from 1 species
UGAAUGUGAGCAGUCAGAAUCAAGUCAUGUUCUCACCCUUCAAUGCGCUUGGCACGUUUUCUUUCCGGACACAUCCAGUGGAUACUGUGCAGACCUUCUCCAGCUAAUCUCAGGAAGGCUGAAGUUUUUAGACGGCUACCCUUCAUAUUUAGGGUUCAUUCAGCAGCCUGAAAUCCCAGAACUCAGGAGGCUGAGGCAGGAGACUCCAGAGUUUGAGAGCACCUGAGAUAAGAUUCCAGCAUCCAGUCCACCUGAGGCAGUUUGCAAGCAUCUGGAACUCCGGCUUCCCGGGCUUCGAUACCCUCUUCUGGCCUCUUUGGGCACCUGCAUGUAUAGGACAGAAACUCACACAUGCACAUACACAUAAAGAGAAAUGUCUUUCUAAAAAUGUGAUAUCUGUUUAAUAUGUACACCUGUGUUCUGGGGCCUUCCAACAGAGUGACUUUCACCUGUGUGUGGCUGCUGUGAAAUUGGUGUUUC